rnacentral:rRNA from 1 species
AUUGAACGCUGGCUGCAUGCCUAACACAUGCAAGUCGAACGAGUGGCGGACGGGUGAGUAAUGUCUGGGAAACUGCCCGAUGGUGGGGGAUAACUACUGGAAACGGUAGCUAAUACCUCAUACCAUCGGAUGUGCCCAGAGUGGAUGAGCUAGUAGGUGGGGUAACGGCUCACCUAGGCGACGAUCCCUAGCUGGUCUGAGAGGAUGACCAGUCGCACUGGAACUGAGACACGGUCCAGACUCCUAGGGUAGGCAGCAGGGGGGAAUAUUGCACAAGGGGCUCAAGCCUUAUGCAGCCAUGCCGCGUGUAUGAAGAAGGCCUUCGGGUUGUAAAGUACUAUCAUCGAGGAGGCGUUACUCGCAGAAGAAGCACCGGCUAACUCCGUGCCAGCAGCCGCGGUAAUUC